rnacentral:lncRNA from 1 species
CCACCACAAUGACAGAAGUCCUCCUACAGAGCUGAGGAAGCUGGAAGGGUCCUGCUAGUUUGCAGGGUGGGCUUUGAACCCACAGCCCUGUGCAUGCUAGACAUUCACUCUACCGCUGAGCUGCUCCUCCGCCCGGCUCAUUAUGUCAUCUAGGCUCUCGUGAUCCUCCUGGCCCAGCUUCCUGACUGUCUGGGACUGUGGAUGUGUGCUGUCACACACCCAACCAGGUCUUUUUAAUAUCUGCCAUUUAUGAGGUAGAGUUUUUACACGACUUAGGACUAUCUUAAACCUAUUCCUUCUAGUUGCUUUAUUAAGGAAUAGCCUAGGCAUCCAGUGUUUAGCACUAAAGCCAUUAAUGUAUUUGUGCCUAACUUCCCAGUGUGACAUGGAGGUGGGGGCUAAAGGUAGACACUGGGCAGACAGGAAUUGGCUGAGCGCCGUUAGAGGCUGAUCACUAAGUGUGCUCACAGGAAAAGGGUUGAAGUUUCAGAGCAUGGGCACCCAGAUCAUUUAUAGCGGUUACCACACAGUGCCUAGGAGGAGUUGAUAUGCACUUAGUUGGAUGCAGUUUCACCUUUUACUCUCAGAAGGUUGUUUAUAUUCUACUUGCUGAUGUGUUAUCAUUUAUAUUUUUAUACUGGGUAGUCCUUUUCUGUGUUCUUUCACAUGUAUAAUCCUCGUGAGACUGUACAUGCUUUGCUCUGGUAUAUUCAGUUGCCUCCUUGGCAAAACCAGCCUGGAAUUGCCAAAAUGCCGGAAGUGAAGGGAGAUGGUGAAAGUCGGGCACAGGAAGGCCAGGUCAGGGGCAGAGAGACCAGAAUUCACACUACAAGGCUGGCACCAUUGCCAUUCAAGUUGGACGUCAAAGCCUGAUCCCAGUUAGGACUGAGUUUUCUAUGUAUAUAUCUGCCAGGAAGUUAACACUUGCUGAAUUUCUCAUCUUCUCACAGUAAGCAGUCUAGUUAUGGGACUCUAUCCAUGUUCAGCUGUGACUUCCCUCAUAUCAGACAGUGGUGCUGUGAACGUUGCAGUGUGAAGUCUGUACUGGCUAGGGAUGGUAGCCCAGCGUGAGUUCAGGCAUGAACAUAGAGGCCACUGAAGGAAGAGCCUCCUGGAAGCAAGUUGGCACGUUAAAUCCCAGACAGAAAGUGUCCCAGGGAGCCAGGGCCUCCGCCAGCAGGGAGGGGGUGUGCUCACUGCAGGAACGUUCAUUUAGAAGAUGUACCAUGGAGCACCUCCCUUUGCUCUAAGAGAAAACCCAUCUUAAAGUUCAUCUUGAAUACAGACUUCGCUCGAGCAUGUUUUAGAAUAAUCUGGAUGCUGUACCUUGUACCUUAGGUAGCAGAGAAAGUAAUCUGGCGUCUUUCUGUAAAACCGUCUAAUAAAGCUAGUUCUGCC